rnacentral:rRNA from 1 species
AGUGGCGGACGGGUGAGUAACGCGUGAGAAUCUGCCUUGGGGUCGGGGACAACCACUGGAAACGGUGGCUAAUACCGGAUACGCCUUCGGGUAAAAGAUUUAUUGCCCUAAGAGGAGCUCGCGUCUGAUUAGCUAGUUGGUGAGGUAAGAGCUCACCAAGGCAGCGAUCAGUAGCUGGUCUGAGAGGACGAUCAGCCACACUGGGACUGAGACACGGCCCAGACUCCUACGGGAGGCAGCAGUGGGGAAUUUUCCGCAAUGGGCGAAAGCCUGACGGAGCAAGACCGCGUGAGGGAGGAAGGCUCUUGGGUUGUAAACCUCUUUUCUCAGGGAAGAAGAUCUGACGGUACCUGAGGAAUCAGCCUCGGCUAACUCCGUGCCAGCAGCCGCGGUAAUACGGAGGAGGCAAGCGUUAUCCGAAUUAUUGGGCGUAAAGCGUCCGCAGGUAGCGAUUCAAGUCUGCUGUCAAAGCACGGGGCUUAACUCCGUAAAGGCAGUGGAAACUGAAUAGCUAGAGUGCCGUAGGGGUAGAGGGAAUUCCCGGUGUAGCGGUGAAAUGCGUAGAGAUCGGGAAGAACAUCGGUGGCGAAAGCGCUCUACUGGACGGCAACUGACACUCAGGGACGAAAGCUAGGGGAGCGAAUGGGAUUAGAUACCCC